UUGUAAUCAAGUGGCCAUGAAAAUGUAUAUAACUGAUUAUAUAUAAAUGAGAGGCCUUAGGGUCGAAACGAUCUUAACCUAUUCUCAAACUUUAAAUCGGGAACAACCUCACCUUUCUUGGUAUGAAGGUUGUGGUUGUGAUAUAAUGUGCCCAGUGAGCCACUUAUGGUAAGCAGAACUGGCGCUGUGGGGUGAACCAAACGUAAUGUUACGGUGCCCAAAUUAACAACCGCUGCACCACAUACGUCUAAUGAUCACAUCAUAAG
rnacentral:rRNA from 1 species